rnacentral:lncRNA from 1 species
GUUCUUCCAGUUUCAGAACCAGUAAUCUCCAGGAUGAAAACAAGCCAUCAUCAAGUUUUCUUCCAGCUCUGAGCUCUACUAGUAUCCCAUGUAGGAAACCUAGAUCCAGGGUAGAAUAUUUUUAGUUUAAUGCUUGUUUGGUUUCUUGGAAAAUUAUUGCUUCCCGCUUUGGAACGUUGCUUCCAUUUGGUGGUCACAGCACUUGGUUCAUAAAUGUUGAUGUUUUAGGUAAAACUUUGACGGUGGUUCUGGUUAAAAAUGUAAAAUCACAUAAAAAUAUAAUUAUUUUUAUAUAUAAUUUAUGUAUUUCUUUUAAUAUUUACGAUGGAUGUAUUAUUUUUUAUUUUGAUAUAUUAUAUAAAUAAAAUAUUAAUUAAUUUUUAAUAGCAUUUAAUAUAAAUUAUCUAUUUUUAAAUAACUACAGAUAAAAUAAUUAUAAAAAAUAUUAAUUUAAAAAAUUAUUUUAUUAUUAAUUUUAUAAUAAAACUAUAUUACAAAUGAGGUAACAAUUAUCGUAACUGAUAGAAUUAGUUCAUUAAAAUUAGCAGUUAUGAGCCACGGAUUUGGACUAUCGGCUUAGCUGAAUUAAAAGGCGAUCUUAAUAAGGAAAACUAAAACUAAUCUUUAUUUAAAUUUUAUUUUGGAAAUAAAUAAAUAAGCCACAAAGGCUAAAGUUAGUGGCCGUGGCUCGCAGUGUCAAUAAUUAAUUCGUGAAGUGCGCGUUUUUGCGCUCUGAAAUUCAAAUCACACAUUUUCCUUCACCACGAAAGAAUUUCUCGAGAACCAAACAGAAUUUCAUUUUAUUUUUUUUUAAAAUACAAAUAAUAUUGGACUUUGAGGUAUAAAUAUAAGUUGAAAUUUUCUUAUAAUUUCCACAGGAAAGAUCUUUGAUAAUGAAGUGAAGAUUGAUGACCAAAUCAUCAAGUCAAGCAGGUCACAAUAAUUCCUUUUUGCAAUAAAUAGUUAAUUUUCAUUUCUUGUUAUAUCUAUGUAUAUAUUUUUAUUAAAAAAAAAAAACUUUUUUUUAGGUUUCCUUGCAUGCAGUCCUAUAUAAAUCCAGUCCAAGCCUUCUCAUCUGAAGAGAGCAAAGGAAUAAGUAGUUUCACUAACAGUGCAUAUGGUUCUUCCAGUUUCAGAACCAGUAAUCUCCAGGAUGAAAACAAGCCAUCAUCAAGUUUUCUUCCAGCUCUGAGCUCUACUAGUAUCCCAUGUAGGAAACCUAGAUCCAGGGUAGAAUAUUUUUAGUUUAAUGCUUGUUUGGUUUCUUGGAAAAUUAUUGCUUCCCGCUUUGGAACGUUGCUUCCAUUUGGUGGUCACAG